rnacentral:misc_RNA from 1 species
UUAAGUUCAGCGGGUAUUCCUACCUGAUCCGAGGUCAACCUUUCAAAAGUUGAGGGUUUUUCGGCAUGUUAUAUAAAAGUUUCAAAGUGUAAAGCUAAGCAUUUACUACACAGGGAAGCUGUAUAUACAACAGCCGAUGCAUUUCGGCGGCGCGACUAAACGCGGGUCCUCCAACACCAAGCAGAGCUUGAGUGGUGAAA